UCCAGUACAGCACCCUUUGAAAAGAGUGUUUUUUCUAAAUAUACUCGAGUGAGGAAAUUCACACUUUCCUGAGGAGUCCUGUGAUCUCAGAGGACAUUCACACACACAGACAAAACACCCAUGACACAUGGGCUCGGGGAGUUGAUGCAGGCUUGGGGAGAUGCUGUGGCCUUCGGGAGAUGUGGGCUUGGAUAGAUGAUGCGGGCUUGGGAUAUGAUGUUGGCUUGGGGACAUGUAGGCUCAGGUACAUGACCGGGCUAGGGGAGAUGAUGUGGACUCGGGGAGUUGUGGGCUCAGAGAGAUGUCUCUGGCCAGGGGAGGUGACACGGUCUCAGGGAGAUGACAUGGCCUCGUGGACAUUAUGUGGGCUUGGGGACAUGAUGUGAGCUUGGGGAGACGUGGGCUUUUGGAGAUGAUGUGGGCUUGGUGAGCUGUGGGCUCAGAAAGAUGACGCCUGCUCGGGAAGAUGAUGGUGACUUGUGGAGAUGACAUGGACUUGGGGAGAUGUGGCUUUGGAGAGAUGAUGCGGGCUUGGGGAGGUGAAUAAAUUUUUAAACUCUCUUCUUUUUAUAUUUUGCUCUUCAUACGGAAGAGCCACAGGACCUAAACUGUUAAAAAUCUUUAGCUAACGGAUCCCAAAACAACAACUUUUGCUUCUUUCUCAUCAAGGUAAAUCUCUGUACAUCUCUUGAGUGCUGACGACAUGACAGCUGUGUUUAGGUACUGGGGAUAAAAGGUGAAAAGGAAUGGUUAUUGUCCUUGAGGAAGUUUUAUUUUUUCUCUGGACUGAGAACCCUAAGUAGACGGUUCCAAUGCAAUGUAUUAAAGUACAAGGAGGUAUCAAGAAGGUACAGCUUCAAGGACUUGAAACCUUCACACUCGGCAAGUGGCUGUGCUGGAAAGAUUUGUUUUCCAGGUUUUAUCAGAAAUAAUUUCACACCAUUUCAGUGUUAAAAAUCUGUCAUCCCUGCCAACAUCAUCUGCACAAUGGAAAUGUGUGAACUACCACAAAAGGGGAUUUGAAAACAAAUUCAAGGGGAAAAAAAAUAACACCGUUUCUUUUAUCACCAUCCACACAGUCCUCUACCUCCUCAGUGUAAAAGGUCUGUACACAUUCUUUUGAAUGGCGAAUGAUGUGGACUGAGGUAAAGAAAAGCCUUCAAAUUUCUGUUGUAGACUCAAGAUCUAAUUUGUCCAGACUUGAAGUCUGCCUUAGCACAGAGCCUUUAAGGGGAAAAUGUAAAGUGAAAAAGCUUUGACUACCCUUAGAAGAAACAGGGUAGCAAAUAGGGAACUUGAGAGAACCAAAACAACAGUUCAUCUAGUCAACAGGUUACUUCCUGUUUUCUGGGGCUGUAAAGGUAAAAGAAGACAGGUCAAAACCUCCUAAAAGCAGACAGAAAUUCUCAGUUUCUCAAUGCUUAGAGAAACAAAAAGUUGCUUUAAGCACACUGUGAAGUUUUUCUUUCAGUAUUCGUCAAAUUUUGAAAAUAUACAGGGUGUGAGCCUGGAGAUUUGGCUCUGAAGCACAGAACUAGAGUCACAACAGUAUUUCAUUCCAAAGAAAAAGAGGACUCACCAGGCUGUAAACCAGAUGUCUGGGAGAGCCAUACCCUUGAAACAAAGAUGAGCCAGAGACAGACUGUGUAACUUAAAUCCAAACUCAGCUUCAACCCAUCCUCCGUAGUAACACAGCCUUCUUAGAAGGACACCAGUCACUGGACUGGGGACCUCCCUCUAUUUCAGUAUGACCUCAGUAAUUACUAACACCUGCAAAGAUCCUAUUUCCAAGUGCGGUCACAUACUGAGAUUCCAGGUAGACAUGAAUUUGGAGGAAAACUCUUCACCCCAUUCCAGUUGGUACGCCCCAAAGAAAGGGAUUCUGCUUCUUUGCUAGAAUAAAGAAAACUCUGAAAGUCAUCAUCAUACUACUGGCAAGACCAUUCAGGAAGACAGACACCACUCCAAAUAUUUGAAACAGAAUUGAUUUAAUAACAUUGGUUACAGUGGCACUUGGAAGGUUGCAGCAGUCAAACCGGGGAAGAGGAAGUAACGCAGACGUUAGCACAGAAACAGCCCCUCCCACUCCUGCAUGUGAGCAGAGGGAAGUGAUGUUAUCAGAGCCCAGGGAUGCCAGCCACCCAGCAGCAGCUAAAGCAACAGUGAGCCUGCCAGGCACAAAGCGGACCCCUGUGGGGACAGAGCAGCCAGCAGGGGUGGAUCACGGCACAGCUGGAAGCCAACAUCACCUGGGAAAAUCAGCCUGAGAAUGCUGACACCUCUGCCAAGCAAGAGAGAGGCUGGGAACAGAUCGGUGGGCAAACUGGCCAUGGCCAUCCCAGCAAACAUGGAGGGAGGUUAAAAAAAAUCCUCAGAUGUUGCUUAUUAGGAUUUAAGCUUAAAAUUAAAUGUCUUAAGGAGUUA